rnacentral:misc_RNA from 1 species
AUGUAUUGUUUUAUUUAUUUGAUCGAUGAGGGUGUACGGAAGUAUAAGGUAUGGGCCUCUUCCAGUCUACGACAAAGUGAAAAUAUUCAGUAUAUAUAUCGAUAGAUGUUUACAAAAUAUUGCGGAUCAACUAAGUUGAUUAUACAACAAAACUUCUGGAUGGAGUUUUGUUUAAAGGUGUUAAUGUUAAAAAUUAUUUCAAGGAUUAAGUGUAUAUCUUGAAAAGCAAUGGAAAUAUCGACAGGACUGAUAUUAUCAAGGAAUGUGGUAACGAAAAGAUAAACUUUUGAAAAAAGGAAGUGAGCAUUUGUCUUCUUGUGUGAUGCAUGUUUCUGUGAUAAAUAUACGUAUUAAAACUCCAUCAUGUCCAACAUUUGAGAUUAGUGAGAGAUAUGGACAUACAGUUCUGUGAUAAGCAUUGUUAGUUAAAACGCAUCUUUAUUUGUGAAAAUGCCAUUAUCAAGACAACGAAAUUAUUCUACAACACACGGACAUCCUGAGGACAAUCAUUUCACUCAUUGCGACGUUUUGUAAUUACACGAUGGAGCCCUGUGCAAUGCUUGGCUUACUGUGGUACUUGCACGUAUACUUUAGCAGAAAGCAUCUAUAACGUUACAGCUACAACAUCUUGACGUUGAAAUAAGUGACACUUAAAAUCAUUUCACGUAGGAAUAUGAAAAAACAUCAUAACUGUAUUGUGUUAGACAUAUGUAAAUACCGGAGAUUUAAGGCUGCCUUAUUAAUAAUUCAGUGGAAUUAUCAUGUCAGUAAAUAAGUUUCUAUCCAUCGUCUUAUUACUACCAAUUACAGAAGAUGGACCUAUAAUGAUGUAAAUAUUGAGUUCAUGGUGUAUUAAUUUACUGUUAGAGCCGUGGUAAAUGUUUGGUGUUUGGAUACAGUUCAAAUAAGAAAAAUGACAUAACUUGAGCCGUUUUAAAUCAGUUUGUAAUACAUUCACUGCACUAUAAAUCAUAUAGAGAUUAGGAUAUACUUACUUAUGCUUAAACUUGUACAAUUUCGCUAUUAAGAAUGACUUACGUACGCUGUUUGGCCUUGACAUUGUUUUUUCUCUAAACUUGCCAAAAAUAUUGAUGGCUAGUUUUGCAUAUCGAAAGCGAAAGUAAGGGUUUACUGUACGCGACAGCGCAGCAUAGUACCACUAAAUGCCAUUUCACUAGGAACUAUCAAAACCCCCAUUUCCUUUCCAUUUUUUCGUUAAUUUAUGACAGAACUUUCAUAAAAGUGGGUGUUAGAAAAUAAAGUUAUAUAAAGAUACGUUAAUAAGACCUGAUGUUGUCGUUUUCUAUAUGAAGUAACGAAGGAUCUGAAUUAGUGACCUUUAACCUAUAUUAUAAUGCAAUCGGUCGAAUAAUACUUUACCGGAGUUUUAAGGAACGGACGAGAAUUUGCGGUUGCCCUUACAGCCUUUGUACAUCUGUUACAAGAAAUGAAAAUAUACAACGAUUUACAUACGGUUAAAUGCUUUUGCUGCAUAUAAUGUAUUUGACAUAGUGAUAAUUGUUAAGCAAAUGCUCAUGUAUGACUUCAUGCACCUACAUAGAAAUUCUUUUCAGUACCCAUGGUAAUAGAAAUACCUUGAAUAUGAUGGCUGUUUUGUUUCUUUUCUCAGACAGUUAUACUUUUUGUCAUAUCAUUUCUGACCAAAUUAGCAAUGUUAGUUAGGAGAUUAUGAAUACACGUUUUCAUUCGUUCCGAUCGCAUUCAUCUG